rnacentral:lncRNA from 1 species
AACUGACAACUUGAUACUGAGCAAGGUGGGAGACAUCCUUUCAGGAGACUAAAGAAGUAAAUCCAAGCGUUUACAGCCAUGAGCAGUAAUACAGAGCCGUGGGAUGUCAUUUCAGCAGAUGUCUUAAGGUUUGAGCUGAAGUUCAAACUAGUUUUGAAGAAGGGAUUUUUGGCAGUCAUACAAAUGGCCAAACUGAAGAAGAUGUAAGCAGAGAUUUGUCUGCUCCACCAUGACAAGCAGGACAUGAGAAGGAAUGCUAGGAAAAGACAGCAGCAAACUAAAGGCAGACAAGCAGCAAAAGAAGGAAGUUCAACUCGAUACAUUUAAACUAGUCAAGGUGAACAGAACACCUUGCAGAUGUAGAGCCCUGGACCUGAAUGGUAUUUAUUUCCUACCAGGUGACAGUUCUGCAGGCAAUAGGCAGCAAUCAAAUAGCACCAACAGCUGGGACUAGCUGGCAGAGCCUUUGUGAGGAAGAUUCACCCACUCAGCUAACGCUCAUCCCAAGACCUGACUGCAUAAACCAAGAUUAGCCACAGGGGCAGAACUGAAUCAAGACUGAAUCCUUGGGCUCUGCUACAAAGCAUCUAAUAGUUUCACCAUCCAGUGAGAUUUUUCUCCUUAGCCAAGGGUAUGGACAGCAAAUAGCAAGACAGGAUAAGAUUGUAACAUGCUGUCAGUGAUGAAAAAUAAGAAGGUAAUUUGUUUGAGAAGACAAUGACCUGAGCCCCUUGCAAAAGGGGCUUUUCUUUGCAAAAUGUCAUCAAACUAUAAUACAGUAUCAACAAACAUUUUUUGGU